UAGUCCACGCCGUAAACGAUGUCGGUUAGGAGCUUGAACUUCGGUUUGGGUUCCGCAGCUAACGCGAUAAAUCGACCGCCUGGGGAGUACGGCCGCAAGGUUAAAACUCAAAUGAAUUGACGGGGGCCCGCACAAGCGGUGGAGCAUGUGGUUUAAUUCGAAGCAACGCGAAGAACCUUACCUGACCUUGACAUCGUAGGAAGUGUACAGAGAUGUACAUGUGCCUUCGGGAACCUACAGAC
rnacentral:rRNA from 1 species